UCGUCGCCUCGCUCUCGCUGCCAUACCGCGUGUUGACUCUCUCGGUGGUCUUGCCAAAGUGCUAUCAUUUUCAUGUUGUUUUCUUUAUUUCGUUGUUUCUUUAUUUCUUAAAAUCUAGUGCUCCAUUCGAUUCGUGAUAUACCCUCUUUUGGACGUAAUCAUCGUCAACUAGAUAAACAUUUGAUCUCAAGAGGAAAAAGGUUCACCAGAGAAAAAAAGGAAAAAAAAAGUUUAGAAAUCAGCAGCGACCAACGACUAGAAAAUGUCGACGAACGAGGAGAGAAAGGAAGGAUAUUCGAAGAACAGGGCGUUGUGCAAAUAAGA